rnacentral:rRNA from 1 species
GCCUCGAACCCAGCAACGCCGCGUGAAGGAAGAAGGCUUUCGGGGUUGUAAACUUCUUUUGUCAGGGGACGAAGCAAGUGACGGUACCUGACGAAUAAGCCACGGCUAACUACGUGCC